UACGUAGGGUCCGAGCGUUGUCCGGAAUUAUUGGGCGUAAAGGGCUCGUAGGCGGUUUGUCGCGUCGGGAGUGAAAACUCAGGGCUUAACCCUGAGCCUGCUUCCGAUACGGGCAGACUAGAGGUAUGCAGGGGAGAACGGAAUUCCUGGUGUAGCGGUGAAAUGCGCAGAUAUCAGGAGGAACACCGGUGGCGAAGGCGGUUCUCUGGGCAUUACCUGACGCUGAGGCACGAAAGCCAGGGGAGCAAACGGG
rnacentral:rRNA from 1 species